GCCAAAAGCCUAGCCUAACAAUUAUGAAUUUUACAAAAUCAACUACCCCAUAUAAACAAACCAUUUUAACACUUUAGUAAGGGCGAUUGAAAAUUUAAUAAGAGCUAUAACAAAAGUACCGCAAGGGAAAGAUGAAAUAUACAAUGAAAAAUUUUUUAAGCGGAAAAAAGUAAAGAUUACCCCUUGUACCUUUUGCAUCAUGAUUUAACUAGUCUAACCAAGCAAAACGCAUUUAAGUUUGACUCCCCGAAACUAAGUGAGCUACUUCGAGGCAGCCAAAAGAGCAAACCCGUCUCUGUUGCAAAAGAGUGGGAUGACCUCAAAGUAGCGGUGAUAGACCUAACGAACUUAGUGAUAGCUGGUUACUCAAGAAACGGAUUUAAGUCCAACCUGAAGCCUCUAAAGUAUACCAAAACGAUAACUUAACCUUCAGAGUAAUUCAAAUAAGGUACAGCCUAUUUGAAACAGGGCACAACCUACACCAGCGGAUAAGACCAGCUGCAUCGACAACCAAGUUGGCCUAAAAGCAGCCACCUUAAAAACAGCGUCAAAGCUUAAUUGUCUACAUGCUCAAUACCAAUAUUUUUAUCUUAAUCCCUCAUCAACAUUGAGUAAUUCUAUAAUGCUAUAGAAAAUUUUAUGUUAAAACUAGUAACAAGAAGAAGGCCCUUCUCUUCAAUGCAAGUGUAAAUCAGAAAGGACAACCCACUGAUAUUUAACACAUUUGAGCCAAAAGUUGAAACUAACCAAGAAAACCCUACUUUCACUUAUGUUAACCUAACACAAGAGCAUUCCAAGAAAGAUUAAAAGAAAAAGAAGGAACUCGGCAAAUCCUAGCCCCGCCUGUUUACCAAAAACAUCGCCUCUUGAUUAGUUAUAAGAGGUCCAGCCUGCCCAGUGACCCUGUUCAACGGCCGCGGUAUCCUAACCGUGCGAAGGUAGCGUAAUCACUUGUUCUUUAAAUAAGGACUAGUAUGAAUGGCACCACGAGGGCUACACUGUCUCCUUUUUCUAAUCAGUGAACCUAAUCUUCCCGUGAAGAAGCGGGAAUAAACCUAUAAGACGAGAAGACCCUAUGGAGCUUUAAACAAUAUAGCAUUUGCCAUAUAACAUAAAAAUUUCCGAAUAUUCACUUCUUAAAGCAGUAUGACUAUAAGUUUUUGGUUGGGGUGACCGCGGAGCAUAACACAACCUCCAUGUUGAAUGAAGAUUAUUCUAAGCCACGAACCACACUUCUAAGCAUCAAAAUACUGACACCAAUUGACCCAAUAUAUUUGAACAACGAACCAAGUUACCCUAGGGAUAACAGCGCAAUCCACUUCAAGAGCUCCUAUCGACAAGUGGGUUUACGACCUCGAUGUUGGAUCAGGGUCUCCCAGUGGUGUAGCCGCUACUAAAGGUUCG
rnacentral:rRNA from 1 species